rnacentral:rRNA from 1 species
AGCGAACGCUGGCGGCAGGCCUAACACAUGCAAGUCGAACGAACCUUUCGGGGUUAGUGGCGGACGGGUGAGUAACACGUGGGAACGUGCCUUUAGGUUCGGAAUAACUCAGGGAAACUUGUGCUAAUACCGAAUGUGCCCUUCGGGGGAAAGAUUUAUCGCCUUUAGAGCGUCCCGCGUCUGAUUAGCUAGUUGGUUGAGGUAAUGGCUCACCAAGGCGACGAUCAGUAGCUGGUCUGAGAGGAUGAUCAGCCACAUUGGGACUGAGACACGGCCCAAACUCCUACGGGAGGCAGCAGUGGGGAAUCUUGCGCAAUGGGCGAAAGCCUGACGCAGCCAUGCCGCGUGAAUGAUGAAGGUCUUAGGAUUGUAAAAUUCUUUCACCGGGGACGAUAAUGACGGUACCCGGAGAAGAAGCCCCGGCUAACUUCGUG